GAUGAACGCUAGCGGCAGGCCUAAUACAUGCAAGUCAAGGGGCCCAGCAAUGGGCACCGGCGGACGGGUGCGUAACGCGUACACAACAUACCUUUAAGUGGGGGAUAGCAUUGGGAAACUGGUGGUAAUACCCCAUAAUAAUAUUGGGAGGCAUUUCCUGAUAUUUAAAGCUCCGGCGCUUAGAGAUUGGUGUGCGUCCGAUUAGCUAGUUGGUGGGGUAACGGCUCACCAAGGCGACGAUCGGUAGGGGGUGUGAGAGCAUGACCCCCCACACGGGUACUGAGACACGGACCCGACUCCUACGGGAGGCAGCAGUAAGGAAUAUUGGACAAUGGAGGGAACUCUGAUCCAGCCAUGCCGCGUGAAGGAUGAAGGCGCUCAGCGUUGUAAACUUCUUUUGGAUGGGAACAAUAACUUCUACGUGUAGGAGCUUGAGGGUACCAUCAGAAUAAGCACCGGCUAACUCCGUGCCAGCCGCCGCCGUAAAAC
rnacentral:rRNA from 1 species